rnacentral:rRNA from 1 species
GACGAACGCUGGCGGCGUGCUUAACACAUGCAAGUCGAACGGAAAGGCCCUGCUUUUGUGGGGUGCUCGAGUGGCGAACGGGUGAGUAACACGUGAGUAACCUGCCCUUGACUUUGGGAUAACUUCAGGAAACGGGGGCUAAUACCGGAUAGGAGCUCCUGCUGCAUGGUGGGGGUUGGAAAGUUUCGGCGGUUGGGGAUGGACUCGCGGCUUAUCAGCUUGUUGGUGGGGUAGUGGCUUACCAAGGCUUUGACGGGUAGCCGGCCUGGGAGGGUGACCGGCCACAUUGGGACUGAGAUACGGCCCAGCCUCCUACGGGAGGCAGCAGUGGGGAAUAUUGCACACUGGGCGGAAGCCUGAUGCAGCAACGCCGCGUGCGGGAUGACGGCCUUCGGGUUGUAAACCGCUUUCGCCUGUGACGAAGCGUGAGUGACGGUAAUGGGUAAAGAAGCACCGGCUAACUACGUG